GGGAGAGGCGCAGGUCCGGGGGCACAGGUGGCCCAGGAGGGGCCGUGUUGGGCGGCUGCAAGGUGCCGGCGCUGGCCAGAGGGGAGCUGGCAGAGUGUGAGGAGAAUGUGGGGGAUGUGCCGGCAGUGAGAAUGGGGAAGAAGAGAGCCUGCAGAUUGCGGGGCACACUGCCACCCUCUCUGAUCCCCCCCAGCUGAAGCUAGCUGGGCUCUAAGAGCUUAAGAAGCUGGUGGGCAGGUGAGCCCAUGCUGAGUUCAGGACCUGCCACAGACCCUGGGACACCCAGUGAGCAGGGGUGGUUCUGGUCAGGGCAGGUGAGGUUCUGGUCAGGGCAGGUGAGGGUCAGCUUCCAGGAGGGCGGAAAGCAGCCGCUGAGCAAGGGCCGGGUGCCACACCUCCCUUCCCACCCCACCAGGAGCACCGGGGGCUGCUGACCAUCCGCUACCCCAUGGAGCACGGCGUGGUGCGAGACUGGAACGACAUGGAACGCAUCUGGCAGUACGUCUACUCCAAGGACCAGCUGCAGACCUUCUCGGAGGAGCAUCCUGUGCUCCUCACGGAGGCCCCGCUCAACCCGAGUAAGAACCGGGAGAAGGCGGCAGAGGUGUUCUUUGAGACCUUCAACGUGCCGGCCCUGUUCAUCUCCAUGCAGGCUGUGCUCAGUCUGUGAGUGCCCCCUAAGCCUGGCCUCCCUGAGUCCUGUCCUCCCUGUGCCGUCCUGCUUGCCAUGA
rnacentral:sRNA from 1 species